rnacentral:rRNA from 1 species
AUUGAACGCUGGCGGCAGGCCUAACACAUGCAAGUCGAACGAGUGGCGGACGGGUGAGUAAUGUCUGGGAAACUGCCUGAUGGAGGGGGAUAACUACUGGAAACGGUAGCUAAUACCGCAUACCAUCAGAUGUGCCCAGAUGGGAGUAGCUAGUUGGUGGGGUAACGGAUAGCCAAGGCGACGAGCCCUAGCUGGGCUGAGAGGAGGACAAGCCACACUGGAACUGAGACACGGUCCAGACGCCUACGGGAGGCAGCAGGGUGGAAUUUUGCACAAUGGGCGCAAGCCUGAUGCAGCCAUGCCGCGUGUAUGAAGAAGGCCUUCGGGUUGUAAAGUACUUUCAGCGGGGAGGCGUUACCCGCAGAAGAAGCACCGGCUAACUCCGUGCCAGCAGCCGCGGUAAUUC